rnacentral:rRNA from 1 species
AUGGAAUCUGGGCACUACUCCGCGGCCUCCGCUUACAGGGCACAGUUUUUGGGCUUGGUCCUCUCCCCCAUGGACCAAAUGGUUUGGAAGGCUUGGGCCCCGCCGAAAGUCAAGUUUUUUGCUUGGCUCGCGCUUCAGGAUAGGCUCUGGCCUGCGGACAGAUUGGAGAAGCGAGGAUGGCCUAACUGUGGCCCUUGCCCCUUGUGCCGACGGGUGCAGGAAUGUGGCCCUCAUCUUUUCUUCAGAUGCCGCUUCACUCUCAGGCUUUGGAAUCUGGUUAUUCAGAAAUUUCGCAUCCACGACAUGGACACGUCUGCAUGGCACAUGUUUGAUUCCGUUCAGGCCUGGUGGGCGAGCACGUGCACCGCCGCCACCACCGACAGAAAAGCAAAAGCAUCGAUUACCAUGCUAGUGUCAUGGGCCAUCUGGAACGAGCGCAACGCAAGAGUGUUCAGGCAAAAGAGCGCGCCUCCGCAAAAUCUUGCUCAACAUCAUUGUCGAUGA